rnacentral:rRNA from 1 species
UACGUAGGUGGCAAGCGUUGUCCGGAUUUAUUGGGUUUAAAGGGUGCGUAGGUGGUCUAUUAAGUCAGUGCUGAAAUAUCCCGGCUUAACCGGGAGGGUGGCAUUGAUACUGAUGGACUUGAGUAAAGUUGAGGUAGGCGGAAUUGACGGUGUAGCGGUGAAAUGCUUAGAUAUCGUCAAGAACACCGAUAGUGAAGACAGCUUACUAGACUUCAACUGACGCUGAGGCACGAAAGUGUGGGGAUCAAACAGG